GUCUAUGCAAGAAAGUGGAGUGGAAACAACACAAAACUUAGGUAGGAUUCUCCUGAGCACCAGUCUUCCCCUGAAGACAGCAAUGAAUUCUAUGUUGGGAUUAAGUUUGUGCCCGAGUCCUUACAAAUUGAGGAAGAUGGCCAAGAGCAUAUUUUGACAAUCCUAAGUACCAUCCCUGUUACCUGUCAGGAGCAGGAUGACAUCUGUAAAAUUACUUUGUAACUGAGUACCCUGGAUUCUGACUGCUAGGCUGGCAGAUGCUGGGACUAAUAAUGGGAGCUUCGAAUUACCAACCUGCUGAUCUUUCAAUCAACAGAGUCAACAGAGUCAGCGUCUUAACCACUUGAGCCACUGCAUCCAUUUGGACACUACCAGUGCAUAUACUACUGUGGCUAAAUUAUCACUGACCACAAAAGGCUGCAUCUGAAUGACCUUUUAAAGCUGUCCCAAACUCUCUGGAACAGGGAUCUCAGUUGGAUCUAAAGUGACAAAAAUGGAUCAAAGAGUAUUCCUAAAACUACAUACCUACUUAUUCAGGGAGAGUUCAACCCCAUCCAGGGCAGCUAGUUUACUCGAUUCCUGGACCUGAGAACCAUCAAUCCAUAGAGUCAAUAGGAUUCAGCUUCACUUCAUCAGGUCUCAGCUAGUUCAUUACAGCAUCCAGGCACUGCUCAAGCAUCUGUAUACUUUUAGAUGUCUCUGAUGACAAGACGUAAAGAUGAGUGCCAUCAGCAAACAGAUUGUACCCAACCACAAAACUCUCAAUGAC